rnacentral:lncRNA from 1 species
UUCACCAUCAUCCACAACUCCAAUCCCAGGGGAAUUCAGUACUUUGUUCUCACCACAGUAGGCACCAGGUAUAUGAUCAUGCACACAUAUACAGGUAAACUAUUCCUACACAUAAAAUAAAAUGAAUAAAUAUUUUUAAAAGAAAUCUUUUUAUUGAAAAAAAUAAAAAACCUUCAAGAUAAUACAGCAAGAGGAAAAGACAUAGAUAAUUACAAGCGUUCAUAGGACCAGUCACUGUAGCCCUGUCAUGUGCUCUGGAGGUAUGCACUGAGGUUUUGUGAGGAAAACCCAUCCUUGCUGGGGUCUCACUAAGCCUGGGCAGUGGCUAAAGCCUUGCAAACCCUCCCGGAGAGUCUUGGAUGGAGGCAGCAGAACACCAUCCAAGGCCUGCUACAGAAUAAGAGAGGAGAACGCAGUAUGAGGUUCGAUGAGUCUCCCCUGGCUGGGGGCUGUGGAGCUGAGACCCAGGAGAGGGGAAGGGGACUGCUUAGCAUAACCCUCUGUUUCUAAACAUGUUACAAUUGAUUCUAGACCUUUCUUCUUGGCUCCAGUUUCCCUCAGACCCACAGGCAGACUCUGGCUGUCCCUGUUGAGCAGGCUCAGUUGUCUCCACCAGUUUCUUGGAUGUGCUCCACACUGUGGCAGUGAACGAGGCACUCGGGGCCUGAUGUGACAAAAGAGGAAAACAUCCAGAAGACACUCCAACCUGGAAUCUAGAGCCCCAAUUCUCACGGAGCGACUUCGGACAGAUUUUACUAUAGUACAUGGGUAUUUUGGCCACGUGUACAUCUGUGCAGCACUUGUUGCCUGGUACCUGACGACCAUGGAGGCCAGAAGAUGGAGCUGGAUCCCAUGGGACUAAAGUAACAUGGUGAGCCACCCUGUGGUUGCUGGGAAUUGAACCAAGGUUUUCUAGGAGAGCGGCAAGUGCUUUUAACCCCCGAACUAUCUCUGCAGCUGUACACUAACCAUUUCAAAGCGUGCACACCAACAGUAUUUAGUACACCCACAGUUCUGGGUAGCCUUCUCCUCUAUCUAGGUCUACAGUGUCUUCAUUAUCUCAACAGAAAUCCCUACCCAACCAGUAGGGACUCCCACCCACUUCUCAGCCUCUCUUAAUUACCAACCUAGUUUUGAGGCUUAUCCAUGGGGUAUAAAGAGGUACUCCAUUAUUUCUCAUUGCUCAUUAGCACUUCACUGUAUUAACACACCAAAUUCUGUGAGACAGGUGUGUUGCUCCCCCAUACCGAAGGCAAUAGCGUGACACGUUAAUUCACCAACCUAGCUCCUGAUGAACAUUUGACUUAUUUCUACCUUCGUUGCUGUUGUUUUUGAAAAAGGGUUCUACUCUAUAGCUCAGGAAGGCUUUGAACUCAUAACUCUCCUACCUCAGCUUCUUGAGAGCUGGAGUUACGGGUGUACAUAAAUACACCUGGCUCCAUCUUUGGAUUAUUGUCCAUAGUAACAGCAUGAGUAUGAAUGUUCAGGCGUAAGUCUGCAAUUCAAUGUCUUUUUCAUUUUCCUCUGCUUCUUUUGGUCUUUACCUAAGAUUGACCUGUGGGGUCAUCUAACUUCUUGGGACAUGACUGAUCUAUUUCCAGAGCAGAUGAAUUGUUUUAUGUUUCUAUCAGCAGUGAUCUUAGGUUCCAGCUAGUUUCUCCACAUUCUUGCCAACUCUUGUUAUUUUACAUGUAAACAUGUAAUGGGGCUAUAACGAUAGCUCAGUCAUUUGCCAUACAGACCUGUCAACCAAGUUUGAUCCUUGGAAAACAUUAUGGAAGGACAAAACUGACUCCUGAAAGCCAGAAAGUUACCCUCUGACCUCUACCCACAUGACAUGGUGGGAAGACAGUGAAACAGCAUUCUCUCUCUCUCUCUCUCUCUCUCUCUCUCUCUCUCUCUCUCUCUCUCUUUCUCUCUCUCUCUCACACACACACACAAACUGAAAAAAUUACUUAUAGCCACUCUAAUGUGUAUAGAGAUAUCUCAUUAUAGAUUUAAAACUUAGUAGUAAGCUAUUUUAGGAGUUAUUUUAGAUUCAUAGAAGGAUUAUUCAGAAUAAAGAGAGUUUCCAUUUACCCCCCACCCCCGUGUCCACUCAUGCAAGGCCUUUCCUAGUGUCAACCACUGGUACCACAGUGGUACAUUUAUUUCACUCAAUGAGCCUACAUGGGUACACCAUCAUGUCCCCAAGUCCACAUUUCACAUUAGCAUUUACUUUCAGGGUUGCUCAGUCCAUGAGUCAUUGACAGAUGCACAGAGGUGCGUAGCCAUUGCUAUAGCAUUGUCCUCUGUACAAGCAGUGUCUCUGCCCUAAGAAUCCUAUGUCCUGCUCAUUGUGGUUUUGAUUUGCAUUUCUUUAAUGACUGAUGGCAUUCAACAUCAGUCUCGUGGUUUUCAAGCAGUCUUGAGAAGCCCCCUGAGGCCCACCGUGGUGAGAAGGGGAAGGCAGAGCAGGUGGCAAUGGCAUUCAUUCAAGACCCUCACAACUCCAUCUGUCACAAGUGUUUCACUUUCAUAGUCAGCACGUCACAAAAUACUCUACCAUCACCAAUGGUGCUGAGGCCAAGCUAACUUUGACACUUGAUUGUGUGUCAUCUAUAUUGACUCUUAGCCCAUGUCUUGAGGUAAUUAAUAUCCCAAACUGAGAGUAGAAGUAGAUUUUCUGAUUACUGUUUCAUUCUCUUUCCAUUCUAUUAUCCUGUCAGUAACAACAGAAAUAAAUUACCCAUGUCUUAAAUGCUUACAUUGUGGCAAGUCCUGAUAUAAGCACUGUCAUACAAUUCUACCAUGAUAUAUCUCUGUGUUCAUGCCUUGAAGAGGUAUGUUCACAAGUUGUGAUGGUUAGCUUUAAUUGUCAACUUGACACAACUUAGAAUCAUCUGGGAAGAGAGUCUCAGUGGGAAACUGUCUACAUUGGAUUGGUCUGAGGGCAGGUCAAUAGGGAAUUGUCUAAGCUAAAUGAUAUGGAAAGACCCGGCCCACUUUUGGUGGCAUCAUUCCCUUGGAGAGUGUUGUCCAGUGGUUUCCUCAGUGAUUAGAGCACUCCAUCCUUCAGGGAGGACAGAAGGUAAACAACUCAAAAUAGCAACAGGAAGUCUCUGAAGCUGACCAGAUUCACUUUUUCCCAGUCUCCCAGAAGAAGCAAUAAAGAUGACUGAGAGUCACUCUUAGACAAGCAAUGAAAACUUAGCUUGGAAGAAGCAGAUAUCAGCUGAGCUGCUUGAAAGAAAUUUAGACCAGUUGAGUCACUUGGAAGGGACACUCUUCAACUUGUUGAGUUGCCUGCAUGCUGUGCAGUGAGCUCCAGGUUCUCAGCUUUGUGAACUGUCACUCCUGCCAGACUGGGCUUUGCUGAUGCAGCUGUCUGUGAGUCAUUUCUGCUCUUGUAAGGAAGCCCUCACCCAUAUUCCUAUGAGUAACCCCAAUAAAAACCUCCUUGGCUCACCAAGUUUGACUUUGGUGAUGUCUGUAUUUUGGUCUGUUGUUGGCUCUCUAUUUGGGGUGGGUAGACGUGUGUGUUGCAUUUCCCUAGGAAAAGUCUUGUCAUACAACAGAUCUAAAGGGCAAAAUAUAGCCAAGCAGAGCAGGUAAAAAAGUGAUCAUGGCUCCAUCUACCUCUCUCCGCUCUGGACGAUGGAUAGCAUGUGACUAGAUGUUUGAAGGUCCAGUCUUGACUUCCCUAUAAUUAUGGCCUAUAACCUGGAAUUGUAAGUGGAAAUAAAAACCUUUUCUCAC